GUCUGAGUCUAGAAAUGUUAAAGUCACCCCCUACAAUGAGUAUGCCUUCUGUGAAGUUCUCUAUUUUGGUUAAAUAUUUGCGUAAGUGUGGGCAUUGUUUUGUAUUUGGGAGGUAGAGACUGGCAAAUGUCACCUUGGUGUUGCCCAGUUGUCCUUUGACUAUAAUUAGUCUUCCGCUGGUGUCUGCAUAAUGGUCGGUGUGUGUGAAUGGUGUUUUAGCUCCUAUGUGGAUGGCUA